rnacentral:lncRNA from 1 species
UUUUUUUAUUUGUAUUAGCAGUUGUCCUCAUCAGGGAGAAGAAAAGACAGUGACCUGUUAUCCCACCACCAUGGCAUUAAUCAUUAUCAAGUUCAGUAUGCCCAAAUACAAAGAAAUAUCCCUAGAAUGUUCCAGUUAGCAGUCAAUUUUGUCUAUUAAUUUGAAGUUGAGAGUAUAGUUGCUUUUUUCACAAAAUAAAGAUGAAUAAUGCUUUUUUAAAUUUUAAUUUGACCUCUUUAAUAAUAUAUUCACAUAAUUUAAAUUUCAAAAGAUAUAUAAGCAUAUUCAGUAAAAUUCUCUCAUCCAAUCCCAUCCCCAGACACCUACUUCAUCCAAGAAGCACACAGUAUUGUAAUGGAUUAGAAAAAGGAAAGUUUCGACAUUUUCCCCUUGUUGGAGUUUUUUAAAUGCCAUCUAUAUAAGAAACAGAGAGAUUUUGAUAAUCUUUAAAACUGCAAGUACCAUAUCUUUUCCAUAUUGAGCAAAAUAUACUUCAAUUUAGUGGAUGUUUAAAAGUAUUGCUUUCUGGCAUUUGUUUUUAAAAGAAAAGUUAAGAAGUUUUAUAUGAACAUAUUUUGCAGUUCUAAGUUCAAAUUAAUGAAGCAGUUAGAGUGUCAAUUUGUAUCAAUUUUUCUAGGAUUACAUUUUCUUGCUUCAGUGUCAGUGGUUCCUGCAAAUCCUACAGAAUCAAGAAAACGUAUUUCAAACUUUGUAGAAAAUUUGAAAAUCUAAAAUCUAAUUAUAAUCCAAAAUCUAAUUCUAUCCUGAAGAAGAAAUUACUAAUACCAUUGCUUAACCCAUUUGCUAAGGAAGUAAGUGCAUUGAAAAUGAUCUAAAGCAUUUUUUUAAUUUCACGGACAAAUAACUUUGCACCCCACUAUAAAAGAAAUUAGUAAGCUCAGGGAGCCUUCUUAACCUUAAUUAUUUCUUUGGAAAAUAAACUGCACACAUAUAUAGGUCUUGAAUCAGUUUUUCAAGUUAAUCAUUUAAACACAAAUAAGCUAGUUGCACUUUACUCAUUGUGAGAAACAGAACAUUUCCACUGUUCUUUUAAAGAUGUAGCAAGAAAACAACGUGAAAGCAAGGGAAACAUUUUAGCUUCACCUCUCACCAAACACAGCUAGUUCUGAAAGCUAUGACUAUAAUUACAACUAUAAGAACUUUUUCUUCAGCACAGCUUUAUUUUAGAGUAGCCAAAAUUCAUUUGUUCAUUAAAAUUCUUUUUUAAAAAACAGAAAAGUAAUAUUAUAUAUUGGUCACAUGACAUGAUUUCUCCUUUAUCUGCAUACCUCGUUUUUAGAAUUAAUUUUUAGAAAGUGAAAAUUACUAAACACAAAGAAUUUCAAAAAUAGACAUCCACCAAAAUAAAACCCAGCUGUUUUACUAAUACGUGCAUUUUAGAAUGAUAUUAAAACUCAGUUUAAUUACAUUUCUGAAAAAUUAUGUGAAUCUUAUUCUAAAUUCCUUUGAUUCUUGUUUUCUUUUUUUUUUUUUUUUUUUUUUUUUAAGCAUGUCACUUCCCAAGUUAUGGAUACUUGGACAAUCAAGUAUUUAGUUUCGCUCCUCUUCUCUUGUCAUUAUCCACAACAUUUCUUCCUGGAAGAUUUUUUUUAAAAGUCUAAACUUUCUCUGCAUGUUUUCUGGGGCAUUUGACGUGCUGUUCAUUGCAGAUGGCAGGGGCAGUUUCCAAUUUUAGCUCAUCCAAAUUAAUUGCCCUUAAGUGGAAACAACUUGAAUACAGCUGACUUCUCCUCAGAAGGAAUGAAGGACAGAAGACAGUGAGGCAAUAUCCUGAUGGUCCCAAUAUACAGUGUCAGUGGAGAUCAAACAUCCCUGCAAGUAACAAAAUGUUCCUGGAGGGAUGUCAGAGGAGGCCUAGUGGAAAGUCAGUAUUUUUAUCACCACUAAGC